CUACGUGCCAGCAGCCGCGGUAAUACGUAGGUGGCAAGCGUUGUCCGGAAUUAUUGGGCGUAAAGCGCGCGCAGGCGGAUUGGUCAGUCUGUCUUAAAAGUUCGGGGCUUAACCCCGUGAUGGGAUGGAAACUGCCAAUCUAGAGUAUCGGAGAGGAAAGUAGAAUUCCUAGUGUAGCGGUGAAAUGCGUAGAUAUUAGGAAGAACACCAGUGGCGAAGGCGACUUUCUGGACGAAAACUGACGCUGAGGCGCGAAAGCCAGGGGAGCGAACGGGAUUAGAUACCCCGGUAGUCCUGGCCGUAAACGAUGGGUACUAGGUGUAGGAGGUAUCGACCCCUUCUGUGCCGGAGUUAACGCAAUAAGUACCCCGCCUGGGGAGUACGACCGCAAGGUUGAAACUCAAAGGAAUUGACGGGGGCCCGCACAAGCGGUGGAGUAUGUGGUUUAAUUCGACGCAACGCGAAGAACCUUACCAGGUCUUGACAU
rnacentral:rRNA from 1 species